rnacentral:rRNA from 1 species
CCUACGGGUGGGCAGCAGUGGGGAAUAUUGGACAAUGGGGGCAACCCUGAUCCAGCCAUGCCGCGUGUGUGAAGAAGGCCCUCGGGUUGUAAAGCACUUUCAGUGAGGAAGAACGCCUGGUGGUUAAUACCCAUCAGGAAAGACAUCACUCACAGAAGAAGCACCGGCUAACUCCGUGCCAGCAGCCGCGGUAAUACGGAGGGUGCGAGCGUUAAUCGGAAUUACUGGGCGUAAAGCGCGCGUAGGUGGCUUGAUAAGCCGGUUGUGAAAGCCCCGGGCUCAACCUGGGAACGGCAUCCGGAACUGUCAAGCUAGAGUGCAGGAGAGGAAGGUAGAAUUCCCGGUGUAGCGGUGAAAUGCGUAGAGAUCGGGAGGAAUACCAGUGGCGAAGGCGGCCUUCUGGACUGACACUGACACUGAGGUGCGAAAGCGUGGGUAGCAAACAGGAUUAGAUACCCCGGUAGUC